GGCAUGCGCGGGGGGCCUGCGCGGUGGGGCGGGCGGCACGCGCUGUGACACCCCCUCACAGCGCCCCUCACAGCGCCCCUCACAGCCCGGCCCCGGCCCUCGCCCUCGAGCCGCGCAGGGAUGGCCUCACGGGAACAGGCGUGGAGGGCGCGGAGUCUCCCUCUCUGGAGUCAUUCCAAAGCCACCCGGACGCCUCCCUGGGUCACCUGCUCCGGGUGGCCCUGCCGUGGCAGGGGGUUGGACUGGAUGAUCUCCAGGCGUCCCUUCCAGCCCCUCUAUUCUCUGGUUCCGCGGUUCUGUGUCCAGCCCUUGUCCCCCCUGCCCGGUCUCCUUCCCUCACAGCCCGGGGCUGCCUCAGGUGCUCGUCCCUCACGGCCUCGGCUGCUGCCGGGCGCUGCCCCGGCCCAGCCUUGUGGUGGGUUGUGCUCCUGCUGUCCCUGAGGGGAGCCCGCACCCCUCUGCCCCGGGAUGGCGGCUGUGGCCAGGGUGACCCUCCGACAUGACUGGCGCAGAUGUUGAGGCUGCGGGCAGAACAACUUGUGGCCGCCCACCUGCAGCUCACCUGUCCUUGGAUCUGCCCUUCCCACGCUGGGAACCUGCUGAGGGAAUAGGCAUGGAAGGAGAAGGGCGUGUGGAGCUGUUUGGUCUGACUUUGGGGAGAAGGCAUUAGGAGCAGAACCCUGGGGGAAUCGGGACAUUUGCUAGGAAGAGAGAAGGAGAGAGGAAGAGCAUGGAACAAGAUGGAGAAGAAACCCCUGUGAAAUCUCAAUGUUCAGAAUGGAGAAGAGGGGCUCUGGAAGCACAGCACUGGUUUUCUUCCAUCUACCGGGUGAUCGUGCUGUUCUAUAGUUUGAAAUAUAUUGGGGGAGAUUGGAAGGGCAGGUAGAAAAAGAAAAAUCAUUUAAUACUCCUCCACAAAGAACCUUCUGUACGAGAACCAAGUCUGUCUCCAGUAGCUGCUAAUCAUUCCUCCACUGAGAUGCCCAGUAAGGGGAACACACGCAGGCUGAGUGUAUUUUUCCAGUAUUCUCCCUCUGGGCUGCUCUGACUCUCAGGGGAUGAGGCUCUGCUUGACUGUAUAAUACCUUGUUUACUCUGUACCCUUAGGCCACCAAUGGAGUAAUUUUUUUAGUAUGUUUUCUAUGAAUAUUGAGUAUGUGAAAUAGUGGGAAUCUGAUACGCCCUCUGUAUGCAGAAGGCAAGUGACACCUUUGCCACCUCUGCAUCUCACAUCUCCCGGACAGCACACAGUGACUUUUAGGCUGGUGUGAGCCAGAGGAGGAGGAAGCACAAAGCUGUCAGUAACCCGAGAGUGUGAGAGCGUGUACCUCACAGAAGGCCACGCUGCCCAUUGCAGAGGCACAUGGCUAGUUUUUAAAUAUUCUCAGAUAUCAACCUAGAGACCAUCUCCUAAUCUGACCUUAGAUCUCACUGUUCAGAUUUUUUUUUGCUGUUUAACAAAUGCAUUUCUCUAUCUUACUUUGGGUUCUUUUGUCUCAUAGCUGCCUGCCAGUUCUAUACAAUUUGACUAUACGGAAGCUGCAGUUGUAUUGCUGAAGUGUUACAAUUUCUGUGUACAGCAAGCUCAAAUAUUACAAGAUCUCAGUCUUCUGAAAAAUAUUAAGCUGUGCUGUGUCAAACAACUGUUACUUGUUGGAUUUUUUUGAAAAUAACUGUGUAAUUUUCAGGGCAAAGAAAUUGAUUAUAGUUUCCUGCAUAUCCAUCACCAUUAAAGUGACUUAAGAGAUCUGUAGUCAGAUACAUUUCUGUAGACAUUCAUUGCAUGGCUGAAAGUCUGCUCAGUCUGUUUUCUUCUUGAAUGCACGUAUGUGGAUAACAGACAUGAUACGUGAUUCAUUUUGCAUUCUUUGCAGAAACAAAUCCCCAGACUUGCAUGUCUACGGAAAAAAAUAAGAUUAAAACCCAUCCAACUCA